GAUGAACGCUGGCGGCGUGCCUAAUACAUGCAAGUCGAGCGAACAGACGAGGAGCUUGCUCCUUUGACGUUAGCGGCGGACGGGUGAGUAACACGUGGGUAACCUACCUAUAAGACUGGGAUAACUUCGGGAAACCGGAGCUAAUACCGGAUAAUAUUUCGAACCGCAUGGUUCGAUAGUGAAAGAUGGCUUUGCUAUCACUUAUAGAUGGACCUGCGCCGUAUUAGCUAGUUGGUAAGGUAACGGCUUACCAAGGCAACGAUACGUAGCCGACCUGAGAGGGUGAUCGGCCACACUGGAACUGAGACACGGUCCAGACUCCUACGGGAGGGAGCAGUAGGGAAUCUUCCGCAAUGGGCGAAAGCCUGACGGAGCAACGCCGCGUGAGUGAUGAAGGUCUUCGGAUCGUAAAACUCUGUUAUUAGGGAAGAACAAACGUGUAAGUAACUGUGCACGUCUUGACGGUACCUAACCAGAAAGCCACGGCUAACUACGUG
rnacentral:rRNA from 1 species